rnacentral:rRNA from 1 species
AACGCGAAGAACCUUACCAGGUCUUGACAUCCCGCUGACCGUCCUGGAGACAGGAUUUUCCCUUCGGGGACAGCGGUGACAGGUGGUGCAUGGUUGUCGUCAGCUCGUGUCGUGAGAUGUUGGGUUAAGUCCCGCAACGAGCGCAACCCUUGAUCUUAGUUGCCAGCAUUUAGUUGGGCACUCUAAGGUGACUGCCGGUGACAAACCGGAGGAAGGUGGGGAUGACGUCAAAUCAUCAUGCCCCUUAUGACCUGGGCUACACACGUGCUACAAUGGAUGGUACAAAGGGCUGCAAGACCGCGAGGUUUAGCCAAUCCCAUAAAACCAUUCUCAGUUCGGAUUGCAGGCUGCAACUCGCCUGCAUGAAGCUGGAAUCGCUAGUAAUCGCGGAUCAGCAUGCCGCGGUGAAUACGUUCCCGGGCCUUGUACACACCGAUACUC